rnacentral:rRNA from 1 species
AGUGGAUGGGGAGCAACCUAUGUUGUGCGUGUGUAAAGGUAGUGCCAAGAAAAGCGAUGAUCAUGUUGAAAAUCAAUUCCCGGUACCCGAAACCGACACAGGUGGGCAAGUAGAGAAUACUAAGGGGCGCGAGGUAACUCUCUCCAAGGAACUCGGCAAAAUGGCCCCGUAACUUAGGGAGAAGGGGUGCCACCGAGAGGUGGUCGCAGUGAAGAGGCCCAGGCGACUGUUUAGCAAAAACAUAGGUCUCUGCAAACUCGAAAGAGGAGGUAUAGGGGCUGACGCCUGCCCAGUGCCGGAAGGUUAAAGAAGUUGGUCAGUUUUAGGAUGAAGCUAGUGACUGAAGCCCCGGUGAACGGCGGCCGUAACUAUAACGGUCCUAAGGUAGCGAGAUUCCUUGUCGGGUAAGUUCCGACCCGCACGAAAGGCGUAGCGAUCUGGGCGCUGUCUCGGAGAGAGGCUCGGCGAAAUAGGAUUGUCUGUGAAGAUACGGACUACCUGCAUUUGGACAGAAAGACCCUAUGAAGCUUUACUAUAGCUUGGAAUUGUGUUCGGGCUUCCUGUGCGCAGGAUAGGUGGGAGGCGUAGAAGGUAUUCUUGUGGGGAUACUGGAGCCAACGGUGAGAUACCACUCUCAGGAGGCUAGAAUUCUAACUUAAUUAAGGACAGUUUCAGGUGGGUAGUUUGACUGGGGCGGUCGCCCCCAAAAAGGUAACGGAGGCGUACAAAGGUCCCCUCAGACUGGUUGGAAAUCAGUCGAAGAGUGCAAAGGCAGAAGGGAGCUUGACUGCGAGAAGUACAGUUCGAGCAGGGUGGAAACACGGUCUUAGUGAUCCGACGGUGCUGUGUGGAAGGGCCGUCGCUCAACGGAUAAAAGUUACUCUAGGAUAACAGGCUGAUCUCCCCCAAGAGUUCACAUCGACGGGGAGGUUUGGCACCUCGAUGUCGGCUCAUCGCAACCUGGGGCGGAAGUACGUCCCAAGGGUUGGGCUGUUCGCCCAUUAAAGCGGUACGUGAGCUGGGUUCAGAACGUCGUGAGACAGUUCGGUCCAUAUCCGAUGUAGGCGUGAGAAUAUUGAGAGGAGCCUUCCUUAGUACGAGAGGACCGGGAAGGACGCACCGCUGGUGUACCUGUUAUGAUGCCAAUUGUAAACGCAGGGUAGCCAAGUGCGGAGAGGAUAACCGCUGAAAGCAUCUAAGUGGGAAGCCCACCUCAAGAUGAGUAUUCUGGUGUAAGGUCACGGGAAGACGACCCGUAAAUAGGCACGAGGUGGAAGUGCAGAGAUGUAUGAAGCCGAAGUGUACUAAUAGACCGUCGGCUUGAC